rnacentral:rRNA from 1 species
GAUGAACGCUGGCGGCGUGCCUAAUACAUGCAAGUCGAGCGAACAGACGAGGAGCUUGCUCCUCUGACGUUAGCGGCGGACGGGUGAGUAACACGUGGAUAACCUACCUAUAAGACUGGGAUAACUUCGGGAAACCGGAGCUAAUACCGGAUAAUAUAUUGAACCGCAUGGUUCAAUAGUGAAAGACGGUUUUGCUGUCACUUAUAGAUGGAUCCGCGCCGCAUUAGCUAGUUGGUAAGGUAACGGCUUACCAAGGCAACGAUGCGUAGCCGACCUGAGAGGGUGAUCGGCCACGCUGGAACUGAGACACGGUCCAGGCUCCUACGGGAGGCAGCAGUAGGGAAUCUUCCGCAAUGGGCGAAAGCCUGACGGAGCAACGCCGCGUGAGUGAUGAAGGUCUUCGGAUCGUAAAACUCUGUUAUUAGGGAAGAACAAAUGUGUAAGUAACUAUGCACGUCUUGACGGUACCUAAUCAGAAAGCCACGGCUAACUACGU